rnacentral:rRNA from 1 species
GACGAACGCUGGCGGCGUGCCUAACACAUGCAAGUCGAGCGAGUGGAGUUCUUCGGAACAAAGCUAGCGGCGGACGGGUGAGUAACACGUGGGCAACCUGCCUCAUAGAGGGGAAUAGCCUCCCGAAAGGGAGAUUAAUACCGCAUAAGAUUGUAGCUUCGCAUGAAGUAGCAAUUAAAGGAGCAAUCCGCUAUGAGAUGGGCCCGCGGCGCAUUAGCUAGUUGGUGAGGUAACGGCUCACCAAGGCGACGAUGCGUAGCCGACCUGGGAGGGUGAUCGGCCACAUUGGGACUGAGACACGGCCCAGACUCCGACGGGAGGCAGCAGUGGGGAAUAUUGCACAAUGGGGGAAACCCUGAUGCAGCAACGCCGCGUGAGUGAUGACGGCCUUCGGGUUGUAAAGCUCUGUCUUCAGGGACGACAAUGACGGUACCUGGGGAGGAAGCCACGGCUAACUACGUGCCAGCAGCCGCGGUAAUAC